rnacentral:tRNA from 2 species
GCCGACGUAGCUCAACAGGUAGAGCAAUGCUCUUGUAAAGCAUCGGUUAUGGGUUCAAGUCCCAUCGUCGGCU